rnacentral:rRNA from 1 species
AAUGAACGCUGGCGGCGUGCUUUACACAUGCAAGUCGAGCGAGAAAGUUCCUUCGGGAACGAGUACAGCGGCGGACGGGUGAGUAACACGUGAGAACCUACCCUAAAGUGAGGGAUACCCUCGAGAAAUCGAGGUUAAUACUGCAUACGUCCCUUCGGGGAGAAAGGUGGCUUUAUGCUGCCGCUUAAGGAUGGGCUCGCGUACUAUUAGCUUGUUGGUGGGGUAAAGGCCUACCAAGGCGAUGAUGGUUAACCGGCCUGAGAGGGUGAACGGUCACACUGGAACUGAGACACGGUCCAGACUCCUACGGGAGGCAGCAGUGGGGAAUAUUGCGCAAUGGGCGAAAGCCUGACGCAGCGACGCCGCGUGGGGGAUGAAGGUCUUAGGAUUGUAAACUCCUGUUAAGUGAGAAGAAAGAACCAUUUUUAAUAGAGAUGGGUGAUGACGUUAUCACUAGAGAAAGCACCGGCUAACUUCG